rnacentral:rRNA from 1 species
AUUGAACGCUGGCGGCAGGCCUAACACAUGCAAGUCGAGCGGAUGAAGGGAGCUUGCUCCUGGAUUCAGCGGCGGACGGGUGAGUAAUGCCUAGGAAUCUGCCUGGUAGUGGGGGAUAACGUCCGGAAACGGGCGCUAAUACCGCAUACGUCCUGAGGGAGAAAGCGGGGGAUCUUCGGACCUCACGCUAUCAGAUGAGCCUAGGUCGGAUUAGCUAGCUGGUGGGGUAAAGGCCUACCAAGGCGACGAUCCGUAACUGGUCUGAGAGGAUGAUCAGUCACACUGGAACUGAGACACGGUCCAGACUCCUACGGGAGGCAGCAGUGGGGAAUAUUGGACAAUGGGCGAAAGCCUGAUCCAGCCAUGCCGCGUGUGUGAAGAAGGUCUUCGGAUUGUAAAGCACUUUAAGUUGGGAGGAAGGGCAGUAAGUUAAUACCUUGCUGUUUUGACGUUACCAACAGAAUAAGCACCGGCUAACUUCGUG